UCUGGAAACUNUCUGACUUGAGUGCAGAAGGGGAGAGUGGAAUUCCAUGUGUAGCGGUGAAAUGCGUAGAUAUAUGGAGGAACACCAGUGGCGAAAGCGGCUCUCUGGUCUGUCACUGACGCUGAGGCUCGAAAGCGUGGGUAGCGAACAGGAUUAGAUACCCUGGUAGUCCACGCCGUAAACGAUGAGUGCUAGGUGCUAGGCCCUUUCCGGGGCUUAGUGCCGGAGCUAACGCAAUAAGCACUCCGCCUGGGGAGUACGACCGCAAGGUUGAAACUCAAAGGAAUUGACGGGGGCCCGCACAAGCGGUGGAGCAUGUGGUUUAAUUCGAAGCAACGCGAAGAACCUUACCAGGUCUUGACAUCCCGAUGCUAUUCUUAGAGAUAGGAAGUUACUUCGGUACAUCGGAGACAGGUGGUGCAUGGUUGUCGUCAGCUCGUGUCGUGAGAUGUUGGGUUAAGUCCCGUAACGAGCGCAACCCUUAUUGUUAGUUGCCAUCAUUAAGUUGGGCACUCUAGCGAGACUGCCGGUAAUAAACCGGAGGAAGGUGGGGAUGACGUCAAAUCAUCGUGCCCCUUAUGACCUGGGCUACACACGUGCUACAAUGGUCGGUACAACGAGUUGCGAGCCGGUGACGGCAAGCUAAUCUCUGAAAGCCGAUCUCAGUUCGGAUUGGAGGCUGCAACUCGCCUCCAUGAAGUCGGAAUCGCUAGUAAUCGCGGAUCAGCACGCCGCGGUGAAUACGUCCCCGGGCCUUGUACACACCGCCCGUCACACCACGAGAGUUUGUAACACCCGAAGUCGGUGAGGUAACCUUUUAGGGGCCAGCCG
rnacentral:rRNA from 1 species